GAAGCCAGAUGCCUUCGGAAUGCUGGAGAUAAUGGAGCUUCAUCUAGAACAAUAACCUCACAGAAUUAAAGAGGUUAAAUAGACAAUAAUCUCACAGAAUUAAGAGGUUAAAUAGACAAUAAUCUCACAGAAUUAAGAGGUUAAAUAGACAGUAACCUCACAGAAUUAAAGAGGUUAAAUAGACAGUAACCUCACAGAAUUAAGAGGUUAAAUAGACAAUAACCUCACAGAAUUAAGAGGUUAAAUAGACAAUAACCUCACAGAAUUAAAGAGGUUAAAUAGACAGUAACCUCAUAGACAAUAAUCUCACAGAAUUAGAGGUUAAAUAGACAAUAACCUCACAGAAUUAAGAGGUUAAAUAGACAAUAACCUCACAGAAUUAAAGAGGUUAAAUAGACAAUAACCUCACAGAAUUAAGAGGUUAAAUAGACAAUAACCUCACAGAAUUAAAGAGGUUAAAUAGACAAUAACCUCACAGAAUUAAGAGGUUAAAUAGACAAUAACCUCACAGAAUUAAAGAGGUUAAAUAGACAGUAACCUCACAGAAUUAAAGAGGUUAAAUAGACAAUAACCUCACAGAAUUAAAGAGGUUAAAUAGACAAUAAUCUCACAGAAUUAAGAGGUUAAAUAGACAAUAAUCUCACAGAAUUAAGAGGUUAAAUAGACAGUAACCUCACAGAAUUAAAGAGGUUAAAUAGACAAUAACCUCACAGAAUUAAAGAGGUUAAAUAGACAAUAAUCUCACAGAAUUAAGAGGUUAAAUAGACAGUAACCUCACAGAAUUAAAGAGGUUAAAUAGACAAUAACCUCACAGAAUUAAAGAGGUUAAAUAGACAAUAACCUCACAGAAUUAAGAGGUUAAAUAGACAGUAACCUCACAGAAUUAAGAGGUUAAAUAGACAAUAAUCUCACAGAAUUAAGAGGUUAAAUAGACAGUAACCUCACAGAAUUAAGAGGUUAAAUAGACAAUAACCUCACAGAAUUAAAGAGGUUAAAUAGACAAUAAUCUCACAGAAUUAAGAGGUUAAAUAGACAAUAACCUCACAGAAUUAAGAGGUUAAAUAGACAAUAACCUCACAGAAUUAAGAGGUUAAAUAGACAAUAACCUCACAGAAUUAAAGAGGUUAAAUAGACAAUAACCUCACAGAAUUAAGAGGUUAAAUAGACAAUAACCUCACAGAAUUAAAGAGGUUAAAUAGACAAUAACCUCACAGAAUUAAAGAGGUUAAAUAGACAAUAAUCUCACAGAAUUAAGAGGUUAAAUAGACAAUAACCUCACAGAAUUAAGAGGUUAAAUAGACAAUAACCUCACAGAAUUAAAGAGGUUAAAUAGACAAUAACCUCACAGAAUUAAGAGGUUAAAUAGACAAUAACCUCACAGAAUUAAGAGGUUAAAUAGACAAUAACCUCACAGAAUUAAAGAGGUUAAAUAGACAAUAACCUCACAGAAUUAAAGAGGUUAAAUAGACAAUAACCUCACAGAAUUAAGAGGUUAAAUAGACAAUAACCUCACAGAAUUAAAGAGGUUAAAUAGACAAUAACCUCACAGAAUUAAAGAGGUUAAAUAGACAGUAACCUCACAGAAUUAAGAGGUUAAAUAGACAAUAAUCUCACAGAAUUAAGAGGUUAAAUAGACAGUAACCUCACAGAAUUAAAGAGGUUAAAUAGACAAUAACCUCACAGAAUUAAAGAGGUUAAAUAGACAAUAAUCUCACAGAAUUAAGAGGUUAAAUAGACAGUAACCUCACAGAAUUAAAGAGGUUAAAUAGACAGUAACCUCACAGAAUUAAGAGGUUAAAUAGACAAUAACCUCACAGAAUUAAGAGGUUAAAUAGACAAUAACCUCACAGAAUUAAAGAGGUUAAAUAGACAGUAACCUCAUAGACAAUAAUCUCACAGAAUUAGAGGUUAAAUAGACAAUAACCUCACAGAAUUAAGAGGUUAAAUAGACAAUAACCUCACAGAAUUAAAGAGGUUAAAUAGACAAUAACCUCACAGAAUUAAGAGGUUAAAUAGACAAUAACCUCACAGAAUUAAAGAGGUUAAAUAGACAAUAACCUCACAGAAUUAAGAGGUUAAAUAGACAAUAACCUCACAGAAUUAAAGAGGUUAAAUAGACAGUAACCUCAUAGACAAUAAUCUCACAGAAUUAGAGGUUAAAUAGACAAUAACCUCACAGAAUUAAAGAGGUUAAAUAGACAAUAACCUCACAGAAUUAAAGAGGUUAAAUAGACAAUAACCUCACAGAAUUAAGAGGUUAAAUAGACAAUAACCUCACAGAAUUAAAGAGGUUAAAUAGACAGUAACCUCAUAGACAAUAAUCUCACAGAAUUAAGAGGUUAAAUAGACAGUAACCUCACAGAAUUAAAGAGGUUAAAUAGACAAUAACCUCACAGAAUUAAGAGGUUAAAUAGACAAUAACCUCACAGAAUUAAAGAGGUUAAAUAGACAAUAAUCUCACAGAAUUAAAGAGGUUAAAUAGACAAUAACCUCAC